rnacentral:rRNA from 1 species
AGCAGCCGCGGUAAUUCCAGCUCCAAUAGCGUAUAUUAAAGUUGUUGCAGUUAAAAAGCUCGUAGUUGAAUUUCGGAGUUUGUCGGUUGGUCGGGCUUUAUUGUCCGCACUGACCUGAUAGAUUCCUACCUUCUGAAUAACCAGCAUGCUAUUAAUUUAGUGCGUUGGGGAAGCAGAGCUAUUACCUUGAAAAAUUAGAGUGCUUAAAGCAGGCUUAUGCUUGAAUAGAUUAGCAUGGAAUAAUAAAAUAGGACGGCUUGGUUCUAUUUUGUUGGUUUCUAGGAUCACCGUAAUGAUUAAUAGGGAUAGUUGGGGGCAUUAGUAUUCAAUUGUCAGAGGUGAAAUUCUUGGAUUUAUUGAAGACUAACUUCUGCGAAAGCAUUUGCCAAGGAUGUUUUCAUUAAUCAAGAACGAAAGUUAGGGGAUCGAAGACGAUCAGAUACCGUCGUAGUCUUAACCAUAAACUAUGCCGACUAGGGAUCGGACGAUGUUAAUUUUUAAUGACUCGUUCGGCGCCUUA